GCAAUUUUAAAACCCGAAAAAAAUAAAUAGGUCAUAAAGACACGUUGCGUGUACGUGUGUGUCGCUAUAGUGCAGUGGGGUUACGAAACCUUUGGGUUGCUCAGCGCUCUCGUCGUCGGUUUGCCGGUCGUCGGAGAAACGUGCGUCUAUAAUUAGUCGAGCUUGUGCUUCACAAACCGUGUAAUGUCCCGCAGCCCACAGAACGCGCGCCGAUUUUCAUUCUUAUCAAAUGCAUCCGAUUAAACUCUAGCAGUCCAAUCUGACUCCAUAAAACCGUUAUUCUCUCUCUCUCUCUCCCUUUCCGCAGCUCUGUCUCUCUUACUCUCUGUCUUUCCCUAGGUUUUGAGACUGCGUGUCGAACUUUUCCCCAAUCCGCCUAUAUUAUACCUAUGUACAUAUGUACAGGCGCGCAUACAGUGUGACGAAAAUCGCCCGAUCGAGUGACCUUUGCCGAAUGUCAGUGCAUGCACCUAUGAAAGAAUGUAAUCGCCGCUAGCUGUGCUUCCGAUCGUUAUUUUGCUGCAUUCCGUUUUGGUUUCGUGCGUGUGAGGACCACGUGGCUGUCAGCAAGAUACUCAACCCAGUCAAUGCCGUGGUCGUGGAAAGUCACGGCCCUCAACAACAACUGACGAUGCUGCUGCCGUACCGAAAUCUCUAUGUACGCCGUUCACACAUCACAACAACCACGUCCGAUCGGGCUGCCGGAUCCGAACGAAACGAGAACAAAGUAGCCACCUGGCAACCGGAUCACCAAGGGUACUGAUUGUAACAUGUCAACACCAUUAAUAUCUGUUUUAUUACCGUCCCACACAGAGCGAUUCUUCCGUUUUUUUUUUAUUCCGCUAUUGUAAUUGAAUUUCUCCGAUUUUUUCCUGUAUAGCUUGAGUGAGUGUUGCAGUUCCCAUGUCAAAAAAAAAAAAAACAACAACAACCAGCAGUAGUAAGCAGCAUCAAA